AUUGAACGCUGGCGGCAUGCUUUACACAUGCAAGUCGAACGGUAACAGGCCGCAAGGUGCUGACGAGUGGCGAACGGGUGAGUAAUGCAUCGGAACGUGCCCAGUCGUGGGGGAUAACUACUCGAAAGAGUAGCUAAUACCGCAUACGAUCUAUGGAUGAAAGCGGGGGACCGUAAGGCCUCGCGCGAUUGGAGCGGCCGAUGUUAGAUUAGGUAGUUGGUGGGGUAAAGGCUCACCAAGACAACGAUCUGUAGCUGGUCUGAGAGGACGACCAGCCACACUGGGACUGAGACACGGCCCAGACUCCUACGGGAGGCAGCAGUGGGGAAUUUUGGACAAUGGGCGCAAGCCUGAUCCAGCAAUGCCGCGUGCAGGAAGAAGGCCUUCGGGUUGUAAACUGCUUUUGUACGGAACGAAACGGCUCUGGUUAAUACCCGGGGCUAAUGACGGUACCGUAAGAAUAAGCACCGGCUAACUACGUG
rnacentral:rRNA from 1 species